rnacentral:lncRNA from 1 species
AUGGGCUUAGAAAUAGCACAUUACCCAAAACUGGAUCUCUUCAAGUACUUCAAGUUGAUAUACAAAACUGAGCAUUAUUUGCUUUCACAAAUAAUCCAUUUAUUUAAAAGUGUUUGAGGGUGUUUGGGGUUGAGUUUUGAAAAUAGAUUAUGCGUUUUGAAUAAUAAGAAUCAGAUAAUUAAAUGUAACAAAACGUGAUGUUGAAAGCAGUGGCGGAACUAGAAGAAAAAUUCAGGGAUAUCCCAAUUUUUUUUACCUAGGCUCGUCCAUGAGAAUCCAGCGGCCCCUUAGGGGCCUUGUGCGGCUUAAAAAUGGGCCCUUAGAUUUUUCUUUUACUUAACGUCAUCCAUAAGAAUUCGAGAGUUGUGUGUGGUGAAACUAUUAGUAAUAAGAUUUUGAAAUUAUAAUAUUAUAUUUUUGAGAUAAAAUAUAAUUGAAAUUGCGUAUUAAAGUAGGUAUAGAUACAUGUGUGGUGAAACUAUUUUUAAAAAUCAAAAUUGUUAAUCAACCUUUCUUAAUCCGUACUUUAUUAUUCUGCGUCACUCUCUAAUAGUGAGACAAUAAAAACAAUUUAAUUGUAUGUUCCAAAUAUAAUUUUAUUUUUACAUUCUAAAGCUUAUUUUAGUUAUCAUUAUUUUUUUUUAAUGGGUGUACCACACACGAGAGAAUGUUAAUAAUUUUUUUAUAAAACUUUAAGUGUAAAUUAAAAAUUUUAUAGAUAAAACAUUCAUAUUUUCUUCAUGUUUAUAUAAUAUUUAUUUACAUUUAAACAAAAAUAAUAAUUUAGUAAAUUAUAUAUUUUAAAACAACUAUUUUAAUGCUUUUUUCUGUAUUAAUUUAACUUUUAAUAUUUUUGUUGCUUAAAAAAGAACCACCAAGUAUAAAUUGUGAAAAGGUAGGUGCAUAUCAUUUACAAGGAAGCUUUUGUACAGGUAAAUAUUAGAUAA